GCCAGAGGAGGCAAUCGUUAUUCGGAAUCAUUGGGCGUAAAGCGGCUGUAGGCGGCUGGGCAAGUGCGUUGUGAAAUCCCACAGCUCAACUCUGGAUCGGCAGGGGAAACUGCGUGACUUGAGUUAGGUAGAGGUGGCUGGAAUUCCAGGUGGAGCGGUGAAAUGCGUAGAUAUCUGGAAGAACGCCGGAGGCGAAAGCGGGGCACUGGGCCGUUACUGACGCUGAGACCCGAAAGCGUGGGGAGAAAACAGG
rnacentral:rRNA from 1 species